UACGAAGGGGGCUAGCGUUGUUCGGAAUUACUGGGCGUAAAGCGUGCGCAGGCGGCUGCUCAAGUCAGGGGUGAAAGCCCAGAGCUCAACUCUGGAACUGCCUUUGAGACUGAGUGGCUUGAGUACGGGAGAGGUGAGUGGAAUUCCCAGUGUAGAGGUGAAAUUCGUAGAUAUUCGCAAGAACACCAGUGGCGAAGGCGGCUCACUGGCCCGAUACUGACGCUGAGGCACGAAAGCGUGGGGAGCAAACAGG
rnacentral:rRNA from 1 species